GGGAUGGCAGCCACAAGGUAGGAGUUCGCUAACCAGGGGCCCCCAGGGGCCAGCACCCCAAACCAGGGGCCCCACCACCACUCAGCACCCCAAAAUAACCUCUGGGUCUGUUCAUACACAAUUAGAUUGUAAGUUCUUGGACCCAGUAGGUUUGCUCACACAUUACCCACUCCUCCUCCAUGAUGUGCUCUCUCUCUGGGGAGAUUGUAAGCUCUUGGG